rnacentral:rRNA from 1 species
GAUGAACGCUAGCUACAGGCUUAACACAUGCAAGUCGAGGGGUAACGAGAGGAAAGCUUGCUUUCCUUGUCGACGACCGGCGCACGGGUGAGUAACGCGUAUCCAACCUGCCCCCAACUAGGGAAUAACCUUGCGAAAGUAAGACUAAUACCCUAUAAUUUCCUCAGAUGACAUCUGACGAGGAAUAAAGAUUUAUCGGUUGUGGAUGGGGAUGCGUCUGAUUAGCUUGUUGGCGGGGUAACGGCCCACCAAGGCAACGAUCAGUAGGGGUUCUGAGAGGGAGGUCCCCCACAUUGGAACUGAGACACGGUCCAAACUCCUACGGGAGGCAGCGGUGAGGAAUAUUGGUCAAUGGGCGGAAGCCUGAACCAGCCAAGUAGCGUGCAGGAUGACGGCCCUAUGGGUUGUAAACUGCUUUUAUACAGGAAUAAAGUUAGCCACGUGUGGUUAUUUGUAGGUACUGUAUGAAUAAGGACCGGCUAAUUCCGUGCCAGCAGCCGCAGUAA